AUGAGGCCUCACCUGUUUGAACUCGGAUAAGCGUGUGACCCAUUCUACAUCCAAAUUAAAGACUUACAAACCGUGAGUCUCGGUCCAAAUUCUCUGCAGAUUCUACUUACACACGAAGGUUCUGCUUUGGUUAGCCAAUGAGGAAGUUGCCAUGUGACUCCAUGUGUCUGAAGGACCACUUUCUCCUAUCUGCUCAGGACUUGGUAGAGCAUCCUCAACAGAGAACUUGGAAAGUACCCCAUGGUAGAAGGUGCUAGAAGCCUGAGGCCAGGUCAGGAGGUGACACCAGCUCCUCCCUGGGCUCCUGAUCCCUGCAGAGUGAUGGGGGCUGUAUACCUGGCCUCGACUCCCCAAGAGCAGGCACUGAGCUCACCUCUACUCUGUAAAACAAGGGGCCACCAAACCUACCCUGGUCAAUUCAAAGAGCCUGGUUAAUUCUGGGGCAUUCUGAAGCCAUGGGACCUGGCUGGGACCACCUUCCUACCUUCCAUCCCUCAGCAAUGAUAGCAUCCAGCUGGACCGCCUCUUCUCUGGGAUCAGAGAACCACUUCUAGAUUCCUCUGGCCACUUCAACCAUGUCCUGGACCAGGCUGUGGUGGCUUCUGGUACAUCGAGUGCAUGGCCUCUGUCCUGGCCUCAACAGAAGCUUCUCAGAGCACACAGCCAGGCUCAAAGGCCAGCCUGCUGUUUUAGAGCCAGCCCGAAACAUAUGAGGAGAAGGGAUUGGGCCCAACUGAGCAGCAGAGAGGGAAGUGGAUCUUGGCUGGACCUUCAGGUGGGAUGUGUGGGAGGGUAAUCUACAGUUGGACUGGACUAUGCAGGUAGGCACAAGACCAUCUGCUGAGUGCCAAGGCAAACAUCACCCCACAUGCUAGGGUGGCCUUCACCUUAGAGGGAGGAGACAGAGUAGCAGCCUGUGUUCCGGCAAGGUGGCAAACUUUCAGGUCCUGUUGCUCAUCUACAAGAUGGACUUAAUAAAGCCAGGCUUGUUCUAUGCAA